GACAGAGGAUGCAAGCGUUAUCCGGAAUGAUUGGGCGUAAAGCGUCUGUAGGUGGCUUUUCAAGUCCGCCGUCAAAUCCCAGGGCUCAACCCUGGACAGGCGGUGGAAACUACCAAGCUGGAGUACGGUAGGGGCAGAGGGAAUUUCCGGUGGAGCGGUGAAAUGCAUUGAGAUCGGAAGAACACCACGGCGAAAGCACUCUGCUGGCCGACACUGACACUGAGAGACGAAAGCUAGGGGAGCAAAUGGAGUUAGAAACCUUACUGAU
rnacentral:rRNA from 1 species